rnacentral:lncRNA from 1 species
AAAUACCGAAACCCGUCAAAAACAUGGUGUAAAAGAUAAAUAUGUUCAUACAUACUUUAAAUCAGAUAACUGAAGUAUAAAAUUACUUUUACAGUGACACGUGGGCCCCCAAUUGACCAAGAAAGUGUAGGGCUACGAACCCUUACUUUCUAGGAUGAAACACCGAGAUUAAUUCUCGUCUUAAUCAACUAUCAACAAACUAUCUUG